UACGUAGGGUGCAAGCGUUGUCCGGAAUUAUUGGGCGUAAAGAGCUCGUAGGCGGUCUGUCGCGUCGGCUGUGAAAACCUGGGGCUCAACUCCGGGCCUGCAGCCGAUACGGGCAGACUAGAAUUCGGUAGGGGAGACUGGAAUUCCUGGUGUAGCGGUGAAAUGCGCAGAUAUCAGGAGGAGCACCGGUGGCGAAGGCGGGUCUCUGGGCCGAUAUUGACGCUGAGGAGCGAAAGCGUGGGGAGCGAACAGG
rnacentral:rRNA from 1 species